UACGUAGGGUGCGAGCGUUGUCCGGAAUUAUUGGGCGUAAAGAGCUUGUAGGCGGUUUGUCGCGUCUGCUGUGAAAAUCCGGGGCUCAACCCCGGACUUGCAGUGGGUACGGGCAGACUAGAGUGUGGUAGGGGAGACUGGAAUUCCUGGUGUAGCGGUGAAAUGCGCAGAUAUCGGGAGGAACACCAAUGGCGAAGGCAGCUCGCUGGGACGGUACUGACGCUGAGACGCGAAAGCGUGGGGAGCAAACAGG
rnacentral:rRNA from 1 species